rnacentral:rRNA from 1 species
GAUGAACGCUGGCGGCGUGCCUAAUACAUGCAAGUCGAGCGAACAGACGAGGAGCUUGCUCCUCUGACGUUAGCGGCGGACGGGUGAGUAACACGUGGAUAACCUACCUAUAAGACUGGGAUAACUUCGGGAAACCGGAGCUAAUACCGGAUAAUAUAUUGAACCGCAUGGUUCAAUAGUGAAAGACGGUUUUGCUGUCACUUAUAGAUGGAUCCGCGCCGCAUUAGCUAGUUGGUAAGGUAACGGCUUACCAAGGCAACGAUGCGUAGCCGACCUGAGAGGGUGAUCGGCCACACUGGAACUGAGACACGGUCCAGAUCCUACGGGAGGCAGCAGUAGGGAAUCUUCCGCAAUGGGCGAAAGCCUGACGGAGCAACGCCGCGUGAGUGAUGAAGGUCUUCGGAUCGUAAAACUCUGUUAUUAGGGAAGAACAAAUGUGUAAGUAACUAUGCACGUCUUGACGGUACCUAAUCAGAAAGCCACGGCUAACUACGUG